CACCUCUCAGGGCCACACCUGGAGAGUUUCCAGUACUCUACCAGUCUCAGCUAUAGGAGAGAGAGUCUGGCAGAGGCAUAUCCAUUCUAUCUCUAGCUUGGGCAGUGGCUAGCGAGUGGAAGGCAAUCUGCUACAAGU